CACUUUCAACAGCUCGGAGAGUUGCCCAUCACUAAUCCGUUGGCAUGAAUACCAAGACUCCUGCAAAAUUCCUGACGAUGUCUCUGUGAUUAAAUCUCCGAGUUCUUUCCAUCCCCAGGAAUCUGCCUUAGACCCAAGGACAGGAAAGCGAAGCAUAUAGUGACCCUAAGAAACAAGCAAAUAAUCCCAAGGAAGUCCAGGACGCCAGCAGGAAAAGGACCCACAGAGAGGAACAGGAACUCUCCUGAGGUCCACGAAGUCUGGAUGCACAUGUUUCUCUGAGACUCGAGGCGGCACAGCAUGGGUCCAGUUGGUGUGAGAUACUUGAGUCUCCUGGUGUUGAUGACUUUAGGGAUGGCCUGAUGUAUUGGAGAGUAACAGGUCACUGUGCCAUGGGCUCUGAAACAUUUCCUUGGAUCCACCAAAUAAAAACCUGUUUGAACCCUCAGAGGCCAAAUCUUUACCCACAGCAUCCUUCAUCUUACUUUCCUACUGUUGAUUUCCUGUAUAGCCUUAGACAAGGUCUAUGAAGUCCUCAGAGCUACAAUCCCAGCAGCGUGUUUUGUAUUUGUUUGUUUUGUUUUUAACUCUGAGGGGGGGGGCUGGAGGAGAAAACUUUCAUUUUUAUAAAACAUAAUAGUUGUAUUGGUUCUUUGGGGAUUUCCCAUCAUGCACCUCAUCAUGCUCAUUUUCUAGCCCUUCUCUACCUGUUCUGACCCCUGUGACCUCUUCCCCCCAAAUAAAACAAAAGAAAAAUUAAAACAACAACAAUAAAAACCAAGUUUGUGUUAUGAAUAUAUUCUCUCGAGCAUAGUCAAACUCUCUGGUCAUCCCCUUAAAUAGAAUUGAAUCCUUCCUCUCCUUACUCUCAAGAAGCCAUCAAUUGUGGAGAGCUCAGUUCGUUAUCCCACCUCCGAUAAGGAUAAGAGCAACCUUAUCACACUUUUUAAUAGUUCCCUUUGAUGGCUUCCUCUUUAGGCUGCUAUUUUGGGGUAGGGGGUGGAGGGGUAGGAGGCUGUCACAGAAGCCUUCCAUGUUCCUCUUUCUUAACCACGCAUAUCUGCAAAAGUAGCUUCCUUGCUCUUUACAAUCAGUGGGAGCGUGGAUCAUGAACUUCCACAUGGUUUCUGGCUACAUGGCAGACCAUGAACACGGCCCCUGGCUGGAGUCGGACGACAGAUCCAGAGAAGACCCUCUGGCAUCAUCAUGACCUCAAGUGGCAGCACGGGCUACUCACAUCAAUAUGUCUCCCUGUGGCAGUGUAGCCCACAUUACAGCAAAAUGGCGUCAGGCUGCAGUGGAAACCAGGGAUGUCCACACGGCCAUCAGUGACGGCAAAAACUAUGGACAUCGACACAGACCCAGGUUGCACCAGGACCUUGGAUUCACACUUGGCCCUCAGCAACAGCACAGACUUGGACAUUACUGACACGGCCUCGGGUGGCAGCAUGGGCCACCCACGUCACUACAGACUCCAGCAGUAGCAAUGCCAAGGGAGUUUAAAACAGCUGCGGGCGCCAGUGCAAACCACGACAUCUACAUGGCCUCCAGUGGUAAGAUGACAUCAACCCAGACCCUGGACCUCAGCCCCAGACAUGGUCCUUGAUGGCAGCACAGAUCCAGACAUCACCAUGGCCUUAGGUUACGGUGCAGGUCACUCACAUUAGCACGGUUCUCACUGCUCUUACACCCUGUCUCGGCUUCCAUUCUGCCUCUCUCCACAGUACACGUAGGUACCUCCGUGUUUUUUCUGUCUUUUCCAUCUCUCCAUUAUGUACUUGUUAAUUCUAGCGGUGCCUGCCGCCUGCUUACUUAUUUGUAGAUGUAUUGAUUCAUGCUUAAAGUUUAGGAAAUGGAAUUUUAAGAAUCAGGCAUUCACUUAGGGAAAAGAUCGCUUCAUGUCAUAAAAACGAUAUUGUUCAACUCCCGGCUUGUGCCAGUCGUCAACCCACAUGCUUGGCCUGGCUUAUCCCUUUGACUACUUAAGACAAAUUAGUAAGUAUUUAUCAGCUAGAUUUGUUUAAGAUGUAGAAAUGAAGCCUUAGAAGAAGUCAUAGACUGGAGACCCAGAGCUGGAAAGCUGCACUGGGUUCAGUCCGAAUCCUACUCCUCAAAUGCCUGUUGCUAUGGAGAUGAAAGUGCCUGCUGCGAUUUAAUGAGGUGGCUGUUUUGUUUUGACCGCAGCGGCUCAGCUUCCUGUCACUAUCAGCUAUCACAGACACCUGAGAGAAUGAACUCAGGAGGAAGGAGGUUCGUUUUGGGCUCACAGUUCUGGGGAUGCUGGUUCCUGAUGGUUUCCUUGGUGCUUUGGACCUGCGAUGACACACUGUGGAGGAACAUGUAACGGGAUAAAACCCCAGUUGAUGGCUAUUGAGCUGGACUUCACGGUUGGGGCUCCACAACCUCCCUCAAGGGAUCAGCCCCAACCCCCCUCAACCCCUUGGAUCUAAACACCUCUUCCUAGGCCACCCCUUGAAGGUUCCAUAGCCUCUCAAUAGCUCUGCUGCUAUAUGGCUGAAUAGAAAAUGUCCUCCACAAGUCUGUGUAUCUAAGCACUUGGUCCUCAGCUGCUGGUGCUGUGGGUCGCCGGAGACGAGCCUUGAAGGCUAUUCCUGUGUCUGUUCUCUAUUCUUGUACGCGGAUGGCAGUUCCUGGAAUCAAAAGAAACUGGGUAGGACACACCUCGCAGUAACAAAUCAUCUUCUCUUACAUUUAGUGGCAGCCAGCCCCAGUCAUAAAGGAUGCAAAAACCUCCACGAAUGUGUGACCUGCUUACCUGUCUCUUCCCUAACACUACCAACGUCUUGUGUCAAGGUCUGCGAAUUUUUACAAUUUUGCUUUGUUUUGGUUUUCGUAGGUGAAUUAAAAAAUAUUAUUUUAUGCGUAUGGUUGUUUUGCCUCCAUAUAGGACAUUAGAGUCCCUGAAACUGAGUUACAGAGGGUUGCGAGGCACAGCACAGAUGCUGCAAAUCAAACUAGGACUCUCAGCAGGAUCAGCAACUGUCCUUACCGCUGAGCCUUCUCUCUAGCCCCCUGUAGUUGAAUUUUUUUUGAAAGACUUUAUUUUUUUUGCUUGAGGAUUUUCUUCUUCUGGUUCUGGGAGCUGGACUCAGGGCCUCACCCAGUCAGUCAGACAAGCACCCUGCCACUGAGCAACAUGACCAGCUUUACCCCCUCACCCACCGUGCUGAAGUUUUACUGACUGUCACUUCCCAUGUAAAGUCACAGCAGUGGCGGGAACCUAAGUGAUCUGUUCAGAGUACUUACAAGGGCUGAGAGAUGACUCGGCUUUUGAGAGUGCUUGUUCCUCUUGCAGAGUACCCAGGUUUGGUCGCCAGCACCUGCAAGGUAGCGUACAAUCAUCUGUAAGUCCAGUUCCAAGAGGUCCAGGGUCUUCUGAACUUCUCAAGCACCACACGCACACCUGAUGCACAUGCAAGCCUGUUCGCCUGCAAAACACUCAAAAAAAAAAUUCUAAAUUAGAAAAAAAAAGCAGACUUGUAAGUUAUAACUUGAUGAAUAUUGUGGAGGCAGUGGUAUUUUCCCCCAUUUUGUGCAUCAAUAUAUUUAUACUUUCCAUGUUGGUUGAGAGUUAUACAUGGUAUAUAACAUAGGACACUGGAAAGUCCUUUCUCCUCCUUAGUAAAUGUGAGUAGGGGUUAGGGAUAUAGCUCAUGUCAUAGAUUGCUGCUUCAGAAUACCCCAGGCCUUGGUUAGAUCUGAGCACUGGAUAAAACCGGUAGUGACAGCACACGCCUAUAAUCCCAGCACUAGAGAGCUAGGAGGGUCACAAGUACAAGGGCAUCCUUGGCUACACAACGAAUUCAUGGGAAGACUGAGAUGCAAGAGAGACCCCGAUCAACUAACCAAAAUGCCACUCCCUAAAUAAAAUAUAAAUAACCAACUAAAACGCUACUCACUAAAUAAAACACAUGUUUGGCCUUCGAUCUGCAGAUUGAAGCUACGUCUGACGUUAGGUAUUCGGCACAGUGGAGAGAGUGCCUGCUUCAUGUGCGUAAGAGUUUGAUGCCCAGCUCUGAGAAGCAGGGGGAGGGUGGGGAGAAGAUCGCCCAUCAAGCUGCUUUGACCCCACAGGAAGGGUAAGCUGGGUGAAUUCCCAGUGAGUUAGACUCAGUCCUGAACCUGUUCAUAUUUCUGGCUAUUCUGGAACUCUUCUCGGGUCCCCCUCACAGGGUCUUUGUUUUCCCUUAUUUACUAAAAUCUUUGCCUUGCCUUCAAGUAAAACAGAUUUGUUUUUUAGAGUUAACUCAUCUUGCAAUGGCUCUACUUCCUAUGAACCCUAAGCUGAAAAAUACAAACACUUUUUUGCGUUAAUUACUCAAACAUUCUGAUUAGGAGGCAAAAUGCUGAUAGUGAUUUCAAAUUCAUGCCAUCUUCCUCCAGGAACUCCCUGAGUGUCACGCAGAAAACUGAUCAUCUCUGAGUAGGCGGAAGGACAGGUCUCAGACAUGUGAAUCCAUAAGGGGGAAAUCCCGUCGAGCAUCCACACCCGGCUGGCACAAGGUGCUGCAGUAAGCUUUCUGGAUUCUCAGUCAAAUGGUGUACAGGCUUGUCAAGGUGGAUUAGCAGGAGCUUGCCACCAAGCCUGACGAUCUAAGUUCAAUCCCUGGACCCACAUGGCAGAAGGAAAGAUGGACUUGCACAAGUCGUCACCUGACCUCCACAGCCUUGCUGUGUGGCAUGUUAGCAUACACACAAACACAUACAGAAUAAAUAAACAAAUCACCGUAAAAUAACGGGUGGUCAGAAUAAAAGAGGAGAGGAAAAAAAGUCUAUUGAGAGGACAAUCAAGAGCCAAGAGAAGUAAGAAAAGUAAGUAGGAAAAUGUUUGCUGACUUAGGACACAGAAGCCAUUAGACCUUCAUGUGACCUUCAACUUCAUCCGCUCCAAGAGCCUUAUUUCACAGAUGGGGCCAAAUCAGACUAAAACAAAAUCAAAAGCUGCCUGUGCUCUCCAGGCUAGCGAAUGGCAAAGCCAGGGCUGGAAACCAGUGUGGCGCGCUUUUCACCCCCCUUAAUAAAUUCAAAUCUCCAGACUUAGACAAAUCACGUCCCAGGUUGUUCAAAGGACUCCCAGAACCAUUGUCAAUAACCUUUGAAAAAGCAUGGAGAAUGGGGGAACUGUUAGCAGACAAGAGAAGGACAAAGUUGUCCCCGUUUUCAAAAGGGGGGAAGGGGCAUAUUACAAAAACUAUAAGCCAGUCAGCCCGACAAUUACUCCUGGCAGAAUUCUAGAACAGAAUUUUAAAAAGCUAUUUACUCCACAAACAUUAUUAUAAUAAUAGAAACGAAGGGGAAAUAACCCACAAUUUCGCCACUUUUAACCCAUCAACUGAACAGACUAGUAAGUAGACUCUUUGUACGUCUUUAGAAAAGCAGAGAUCGCUCCGAGCCAACCCCAAAUCUUUGGAACAAAACAUGUCUUCAUUUAUUCCUUUUUUGAUAGGGAUAUUAGAUUGGUAGAGAGAAGAGACAUCAAAACUAUCCUUGCUUUCAGCCUGGCCUUUGGCGAGACCCCUCGUAAUUGCAGUGUGAUAAGACAGGAACUGGCGGCUGGCCAGGAGGACAGGCGAGGCUGGGCUGGCCCUUACACCUGCAGAGGGCUGAUUAGCGUGUGGAGCAGCCUGAAGAGACACUGGUGGGGGCAUGAGUUCUCUUAUGCUUUCAGGAGAAUAUAUUCUUUUUGUCUUAGAGAAGAUAGUCAUCAGAUUUCCUUGUGUCACAAAAGAGAACAACCGGCGUGAGGGCUAAGCGGAUAACCAGUAACAGUAACAAAUGGUUAUCGAUCGCUUACU